rnacentral:rRNA from 1 species
AAUCUUGGACAAUGGGGGAAACCCUGAUCCAGCCAUGCCGCGUGAGCGAUGAAGGCCUUAGGGUUGUAAAGCUCUUUCGUGGGGGAAGAUAAUGACUGUACCCCAAGAAGAAGCCCCGGCUAACUCCUUGCCAGCAGCCGCGGUAAUACGGAGGGGGCUAGCGUGGUUCGGAAUUACUGGGCGUAAAGCGCAGGGAGGCGGACCAGGAAGUUGGAGGUGAAAUCCCGAGGCUCAACCUCGGAACUGCCUUCAAAACUGCCGGUCUUGAGUUCGAGAGAGGUGAGUGGAAUUCCGAGUGUAGAGGUGGAAUUCGUAGAUAUUCGGAGGAACACCAGUGGCGAAGGCGGCUCACUGGCUCGAUACUGACGCUGAGGUGCGAAAGCGUGGGGAGCAAACAGG